UACGUAGGGUGCAAGCGUUGUCCGGAAUUAUUGGGCGUAAAGAGCUCGUAGGCGGUUUGUCGCGUCGAAUGUGAAAACCCGGGGCUCAACCCCGGGCCUGCAUUCGAUACGGGCAGACUAGAGUUCGGUAGGGGAGUCUGGAAUUCCUGGUGUAGCGGUGAAAUGCGCAGAUAUCAGGAGGAACACCGGUGGCGAAGGCGGGACUCUGGGCCGGUACUGACGCUGAGGAGCGAAAGCGUGGGGAGCGAACAGG
rnacentral:rRNA from 1 species